GUUAUGUACAGGACUGCUCUCGUGGUGCUCUUCAUUCUUUCUUGCGGCCUUCCACUAGGCGCUGUGCGGAAGUCGCCGGAAGGCUGUGACGGCGGACCAUAUGGAAGCUGUGUUUAUCCACGCAUGUGCAGCUGUCCUGAGCCGGAGUCACCAGUAGGAUAUAUGCGUUAUACAAUGGAGAAUGCCCCUUGGUAC